GGUCGGUGAUGGUCGGGGUGAUGAAGUGGACGUGGCAGUCGAUGCCGCCCGCGGUCAGCACCCGGCCGUUGCCCGCCAGCACCUCCGUGGACGGGCCGAUGACCAGCGCCGGGUCCACCCCGUCCAUGGUGUCGGGGUUGCCCGCCUUGCCGAUGCCGACGAUCCGGCCGUCGCGCACGCCGACGUCGGCCUUGACCACGCCCCAGUGGUCGAGGAUGACCGCGCCGGUGAUGACCAGGUCGGGGGCGCCCUCGGCGCGGGUGGCCCGGGCCUGGCCCAUCGACUCGCGGAU
rfam:Actinokineospora spheciospongiae strain EG49 contig1293_1, whole genome shotgun sequence.